CUAUCUACUUAAAAUGUGCCU
rnacentral:miRNA from 1 species